rnacentral:tRNA from 1 species
GCGAUAGUGGCUCAGUUGGUAGAGCGCCACCUUGCCAAGGUGGAAAUCGCGGGUUCGAGUCCCGUCUAUCGCUC